UGGGGAAUUUUGGACAAUGGGCGAAAGCCUGAUCCAGCAAUGCCGCGUGUGUGAAGAAGGCCUUCGGGUUGUAAAGCACUUUUGUCCGGAAAGAAAUCCUUGGCUCUAAUACAGUCGGGGGAUGACGGUACCGGAAGAAUAAGCACCGGCUAACUACGUGCCAGCAGCCGCGGUAAUACGUAGGGUGCAAGCGUUAAUCGGAAUUACUGGGCGUAAAGCGUGCGCAGGCGGUUUGCUAAGACCGAUGUGAAAUCCCCGGGCUCAACCUGGGAACUGCAUUGGUGACUGGCAGGCUAGAGUAUGGCAGAGGGGGGUAGAAUUCCACGUGUAGCAGUGAAAUGCGUAGAGAUGUGGAGGAAUACCGAUGGCGAAGGCAGCCCCCUGGGCCAAUACUGACGCUCACGCACGAAAGCGUGGGGAGCAAACAGGAUUAGAUACCCUGGUAGUCCACGCCCUAAACGAUGUCAACUAGUUGUUGGGGAUUCAUUUUCCUUAGUAACGUAGCUAACGCGUGAAGUUGACCGCCUGGGGAGUACGGUCGCAAGAUUAAAACUCAAAUGAAUUG
rnacentral:rRNA from 1 species